UCUCCGUAGGUGAACCUGCGGAGGGAUCAUUACUGAGUGAGGGUCUCCGGGCCCGACCUCCAACCCUUUGUGAAUUCGACCCAGUUGCCUCGGGGGCGACCCGGCCUUUGGGCGUCGGGGCCCCCGGUGGUCCACACCUCAACUCUUGCAUCUGUGCGUCUGAGUAACAUAUUGAAUCAAUCAAAACGUUCAACAACGGAUCUCUUGGUUCUGGCAUCGAUGAAGAACGCAGC
rnacentral:misc_RNA from 1 species